rnacentral:rRNA from 1 species
ACGGGUGAGUAACACGUUGGAACCUGCCCCAAAGUGAGGAAUAAGCACCGAAAGGUGGUCUAAUACUUCAUAAUAUCCAUCUCGUAUGGAUUUAAGCUUUAUGCGCUUUGGGAGGGGCCUGCGUAACAUUAGCUUGUUGGUGAGGUAAAAGCUCACCAAGGCUUCGAUGUUUAACUGGUUUGAGAGGAUGACCAGUCACACUGGGACUGAGAUACGGCCCAGACUCCUACGGGAGGCAGCAGUAAGGAAUCUUCCACAAUGGGGCAACCCUGAUGGAGCAAUACCGCGUGCAGGAUGAAGCGUUUCGGCGUGUAAACUGCUUUUAUCACCGAAGAUUAUGACUGUAGGUGAAGAAUAAGGACCGGCUAACUACGUG